AACGGAGGGGGCGAGUGUUAUUCAUCAUGAUUGGGCGUAAAGGGUGCGUAGGCGGUUUUUUAAGUCUAAGCAGAAAGAUCAAAAGUAGUUUUGAGGUGUGCUUAUAUACUGAAAGACUAGAGUGCGGAAGAGGAUACAGGGAAUUAUGGUGUAGGGGUAGAAUCUGUGGAUAUUGGUAAAUACUACUAACUGGCGAAGGCGUGUAUCUGGUACGUUGACUGACGCUGAGGUACGAAAGCAUGGGUAUCGAUCAGG
rnacentral:rRNA from 1 species